rnacentral:lncRNA from 1 species
GAGGAAGUGAGCUGCCAUGUACUAGGCCACGUGGCAAGGGCCUGGUUGGGGACCUCCAGGAGUUGAGAGCAUCCUCUGGACAACAUGGAAAAAGAAAAUGAAAAUGGUGACCUCAGCCCUAUAGCUAGAAGGAAUUGAAUCCUGUCAACAACGAUCCUCAUCACUCAAUGCAGAUGUUACUUUAAGACAUUCUGGAGCAGCGUCAUGUGCAGGAGAAAAUAGUAUCAUCUCAGCCUUCUAUGAAAUCAAGGCAAUAUUCAUGUGAAAGUAUAUUCCAAACCCAGAACCUGAGCACAGAUUGGGACUGAGAAACACUUGUCUAGAUUGUCAGGCAAUCUGUAACAUCAGCAGUGGAUGGAAAGAAGGAGAAAGAUGAGUUUUAUGGAUGCUAACCCAUCUAUAUGGCUUUGGAAAAUAAAGUACUGCUG